rnacentral:snRNA from 1 species
GUGCUUGCUUUGGCAGCAUAUAUACUAAAAUCGGAACAAUACAGAGAAGAUUAGCAUG